AUUGAACGCUGGCGGCAGGCCUAACACAUGCAAGUCGAGCGGAUGAAUGGAGCUUGCUCCUGGAUUCAGCGGCGGACGGGUGAGUAAUGCCUAGGAAUCUGCCUGGUAGUGGGGGAUAACGUCCGGAAACGGGCGCUAAUACCGCAUACGUCCUGAUGGAGAAAGUGGGGGAUCUUCGGACCUCACGCUAACAGAUGAGCCUAGGUCGGAUUAGCUAGUUGGUGGGGUAAAGGCCUACCAAGGCGACGAUCCGUAACUGGUCUGAGAGGAUGAUCAGUCACACUGGAACUGAGACACGGUACAGACUCCUACGGGGGGACGCAGUGCGGAAUAUUGGACAAUGGGCGAAAGCCUGAUCCAGCCAUGCCGCGUGUGUGAAGAAGGUCUUAGGAUUGUAAAGCACUUUAAGUUGGGAGGAAGGGCAGUAAGUUAAUACCUUGCUGUUUUGACGUUACCAACAGAAUAAGCACCGGCUAACUUCGUG
rnacentral:rRNA from 1 species